rnacentral:misc_RNA from 1 species
AAAGUCGUAACAAGGUUUCCGUAGGUGAACCUGCGGAAGGAUCAUUAGUAUACUGUGUAUCCUCACCGGAUACACACAAUAAACCCACCCGUGUAUUGUACCUGUUGCUUCCGCGCAGCUGUGACGUACGUCACCUCUGACGACGGCGAAAGCCGUCUGAGGGGCAGUCUUCGCGGGAGAUAUGUAUCACUUCACUGCAUUACCAUGACCUCAGUCUGAAAUUGACAUAGCAAAUGUUAAAAAACUUUCAACAACGGAUCUCUUGGUUCUC